CCUACGGGUGGCAGCAGUGGGGAAUAUUGCGCAAUGGGCGAAAGCCUGAUGCAGCGACGCCGCGUGAGUGAUGAAGGUCUUCGGAUCGUAAACCUCUGUCAGCAGGGAAGAACAGUCACUGUACUAAACAGCUGUGAACUGACGGUACCUGCAAAGGAAGCAACGGCUAACUCCGUGCCAGCAGCCGCGGUAAUACGGAGGGUGCGAGCGUUAAUCGGAAUUACUGGGCGUAAAGCGGUCGUAGGCGGUAUGGCAAGUCAGGGGUGAAAGCCCCGGGCUCAACGUCGGAACUGCCUUUGAAACUGGCAAACUGGAGUGAGUGAGAGGUAAGUGGAAUUCCAGGUGUAGCGGUGAAAUGCGUAGAUAUCUGGAGGAACAUCAGAGGCGAAGGCGGCUUUCUGGCACAUAACUGACGCUGAGGAGCGAAAGCGUGGGUAGCAAACAGGAUUAGAUACCCGGGUAGUC
rnacentral:rRNA from 1 species